AGAGUCUUAUUAGCACACCAGGACAACACAACCCCUCAAUUCCUCUGCACGGAGACAUUCUCGACUGCAGCUACUUUCAGGGAGGACAUUGCUGAGAAUGGUAAAGCCUUAGCAGACACCAAUAAAGCUAAGGCUGUGGACAAAGAAGCAUGCUGAUUUUCACCUCAGAUGUGAAAUCAAAAAACUCAAGUCGGAAAAGUUGGUCUUCCAAAGACAAAAGUAGUGAAAAAUGCCAGCAAUAUAUACUUAAGAAGUACCGCCAGGCAACAUGGACAAUGGUAUGAAGUGCACCCUAAUCAAGUUUGCAGACAACACCAAGCUGAGUGGUGCAGUUGACACGCUAGAGGGAAGGGAUGCUAUCCAGAAGGACCUGAACAGGCUUGAGAGGUGGGCCUAUGACAUCCUCAUGAAGUUCAGCAAGGCCAAGUGGCAAGGUCCUUCACCUGAGUUGAGGCAAACCCAAGCAUAGAUACAGAUUGGUCGGAGAAUGGCUCAAGAGCAGCUCUGAGGAGAAGGAUUUGGGAGUGUCUGUUGAUGAAAGAUUCAACAUGAGCCGACAAUGUAUGCUUGCAGUCCAGAAGACCAACCGUAUCCUGGGUUGCAUCACGAGAAGCACGACUAGCAGGUCAAGGGAGGUGAUUCUGCUCCUCUACUCUGCUCUCGUGAUACCCCACAUGGAAUACUGCAUCCAGUUCUGGAUACUCCAACACAAGAAGAACAUCGAGUUGUUGGAGCGGGUCCGGAGGAGGGCCAUGAAGGUGAUGAGAGGGCUGGAGCACCUUCCUUAUGAGGACAGGCUGAGAAAGUGGGGGCUCUUCUGCCUGGAGAAGAGAAGGCUCUGAGGAGAAAUUAUAAUGGCCUACCAGUACCUGAAGGGGGGCUACAGGAAAGCUGGGAAGGUACUUUUUAUAAGGGAAGGUAGUGACAGGACGAGAGGAAAUGGCUUUAAACUGGAAGAGGGUAGAUUUAGACUAGAUGUUAGAUAUUAGGAAGAUAUUAGGAAGAAAUUCUUUACUGUGAAGGUGGUGAGACACUGGAACAGCUUACCCAGUGAGACUGUGAAUGCCUCCUCCCCGGAAACAUUCAAAAUCAGGCUAGAUGGGGCUCUGAGCUACCUGGUCUAGAGGGAGGUGUCCCUGCCUAUAGUAGGGGAGUUGGAACUAGAUGAUCUUAAAGGUCCCUUCCAACCCAAACCAUCCUAUGAUUCUACUCCACCACAGGGAAAUACUGUUCACAUGUGAUUUCCUAGAAUGAAUUGGGUUUGAAGGGACCUUAAAGAACCUUGCCAUGAACAGGGAUACAUUCAACUGGAUGAGGUUGCUCAAACACUGGACACCUCCAGGGAUUGGGCAUCCACAGCUUCUUUGAACAACUUGUUCUAGUGCUUCAUCACCCUCCUUGUUAAGCAUUUCUUCCUAAUAUCUAAUCUACAUCUGUUUGCUUUUAGUUUAUACCUUUUGUCCUAUCACAACAGUCCCUGAUAAAGAGUCUGUCUACAUCUUUCUUGUAGGCCCCCUCCAAGCACCAGAAAGUUUUUCUCAGAGAAUUCUCUUCUCUAGACUGAGCAAUGUUGGGUAUCUUUUCCUGUCUCUGUAGAAGUACUCCAGCCCUCUGAUCAUUUUUUUUUUUUUCACUGUUCUGGACCCACUGUAACAAGUCCGUGCCUUUCUUAUGCUGGGAGUCCCUGAACUGAAUGCAGAUUUGAGCCGUGUAUUAUCAUUUCAUACUUCAGUGACUUAUCUGUAUUUGCAAUUUUACAUUCAUGU
ensembl:lncRNA